CUUCUGAAUUUGUAGAGAAAAGAGAGAAUGAAAUUAUGAAUACAUAUUGUCGUUACCAUUGUUGUUUCUUCCAGGGUAUUUCCAAAGAGGCCUAUGCAGAGCAAAGUUCUAAUAUCUACUGGAAAUGAUUUUAAAAGCAUUAUAAUUUCUUGAAAGAAUUUGGUCCAGAGAUGGAAAAAGUUGAUAAAUGAUGAAACAGACCAGAAUGAUCAAGAGGAGAAAGAUCAGACCAAUGUUUACCAAAGAUUUAAGACACGAAAAUUCCAUACAUCAGCCCUUGAAUAGACUCCUGGGUGGCACAUAUGUUAAUUUUGCCAGCGAGCUAUGUAGAUACUCCCAAUCACAUUUUUGAAGCAAGAUCCCAUGAGAAACGAGGGUUGGAAAAUCAGUUUUCUUAAUAAAUCCUGUUCCUGAAGAGCUGGAGAUAUUCUGAUAUUAUGCAGUGAUAGUCAAUGGCACAGGGAUGGUCACUCUAUGCCUCGAUUACCUCAUCUGUAUGUGAGAACUGAAUCCUCUCAUAUUCUAAAAUUAAUUAAUUAAUGGAUUAAUCCAUCUAAAGUACAUCUUCGGUGAGUUCCCCUGUUCAUCUUUGUUUUAGGAGACAAUCUAUUCAUUUAUUUAUUUUGAA